GGAGAGGUGGCUCAGUGGUUAAGAGCACUGGCUGCUCUUCCAGAGGAAGUGGGUUUAACUCCCAGCAUCCACCA
rnacentral:tRNA from 1 species